AUUGAACGCUGGCGGCAGGCCUAACACAUGCAAGUCGAACGGCAGCACAGAAGAGCUUGCCCUUUGGGUGGCGAGUGGCGGAUGGGUGAGUAAUGUCUGGGAAACUGCCCGAUGGAGGGGGAUAACUACUGGAAACGGUAGCUAAUACCGCAUAACGUCGCAAGACCAAAGUGGGGGACCUUCGGGCCUCACACCAUCGGAUGUGCCCAGAUGGGAUUAGCUAGUAGGUGGGGUAAUGGCUCACCUAGGCGACGAUCCCUAGCUGGUCUGGGAGGAUGACCAGCCACACUGGAACUGAGACACGGUCCAGACUCCUACGGGAGGCAGCAGUGGGGAAUAUUGCACAAUGGGCGCAAGCCUGAUGCAGCCAUGCCGCGUGUAUGAAGAAGGCCUUCGGGUUGUAAAGUACUUUCAGCGGGGAGGAAGGCGGUGAGGUUAAUAACCUUGCCGAUUGACGUUACCCGCAGAAGAAGCACCGGCUAACUCCGUGCCAGCCGCCGCGGUAA
rnacentral:rRNA from 1 species